CCUGAAACUCACUUUUUAGACCAGGCUGGCCUCAGACUUACAGAGGAUCUGCCUGCCUCUGCCUCCUGAGUGCUAGGAU
rnacentral:miRNA from 1 species